rnacentral:rRNA from 2 species
UAUUACAAUGAAGAGUUUGAUCCUGGCUCAGGAUNAACGCUAGCUACAGGCUUAACACAUGCAAGUCGAGGGGCAGCAUGGUCUUAGCUUGCUAAGNCNAUGGCGACCGGCGCACGGGUGAGUAACACGUAUCCAACCUGCCGUCUACUCUUGGACAGCCUUCUGAAAGGAAGAUUAAUACAAGAUGGCAUCAUGAGUCCGCAUGUUCACAUGAUUAAAGGUAUUCCGGUAGACGAUGGGGAUGCGUUCCAUUAGAUAGUAGGCGGGGUAACGGCCCACCUAGUCUUCGAUGGAUAGGGGUUCUGAGAGGAAGGUCCCCCACAUUGGAACUGAGACACGGUCCAAACUCCUACGGGAGGCAGCAGUGAGGAAUAUUGGUCAAUGGGCGAGAGCCNGAACCAGCCAAGUAGCGUGAAGGAUGACUGCCCUAUGGGUUGUAAACUUCUUUUAUAAAGGAAUAAAGUCGGGUAUGGAUACCCGNUUGCAUGUACUUUAUGAAUAAGGAUCGGCUAACUCCGUGCCAGCAGCCGCGGUAAUACGGAGNAUCCGAGCGUUAUCCGGAUUUAUUGGGUUUAAAGGGAGCGUAGAUGGAUGUUUAAGUCAGUUGUGAAAGUUUGCGGCUCAACCGUAAAAUUGCAGUUGAUACUGGAUAUCUUGAGUGCAGUUGAGGCAGGCGGAAUUCGUGGUGUAGCGGUGAAAUGCUUAGAUAUCACGAAGAACUCCGAUUGCGAAGGCAGCCUGCUNAGCUGCAACUGACAUUGAGGCUCGAAAGUGUGGGUAUCAAACAGGAUUAGAUACCCUGGUAGUCCACACGGUAAACGAUGAAUACUCGCUGUUUGCGAUAUACUGCAAGCGGCCAAGCGAAAGCGUUAAGUAUUCCACCUGGGGAGUACGCCGGCAACGGUGAAACUCAAAGGAAUUGACGGGGGCCNGCACAAGCGGAGGAACAUGUGGUUUAAUUCGAUGAUACGCGAGGAACCUUACCCGGGCUUAAAUUGCAGAUGAAUUACGGUGAAAGCCGUAAGCCGCAAGGCAUCUGUGAAGGUGCUGCAUGGUUGUCGUCAGCUCGUGCCGUGAGGUGUCGGCUUAAGUGCCAUAACGAGCGCAACCCUUGUUGUCAGUUACUAACAGGUUAUGCUGAGGACUCUGACAAGACUGCCAUCGUAAGAUGUGAGGAAGGUGGGGAUGACGUCAAAUCAGCACNGCCCUUACGUCCGGGGCUACACACGUGUUACAAUGGGGGGUACAGAGGGCNGCUACCACGCGAGUGGAUGCCAAUCCCCAAAACCUCUCUCAGUUCGGACUGGAGUCUGCAACCCGACUCCACGAAGCUGGAUUCGCUAGUAAUCGCGCAUCAGCCACGGCGCGGUGAAUACGUUCCCGGGCCUUGUACACACCGCCCGUCAAGUCAUGGGAGCCGGGGGUACCUGAAGUGCGUAACCGCGAGGAGCGCCCUAGGGUAAAACUGGUGACUGGGGCUAAGUCGUAACAAGGUAGCNGUACCGGAAGNNNNNNNNNGAACACCUCCUUUCU